GAGUUUUAUAGCUUAAAAGGUAGAGCGUAACGCUGAUAAAGGCGUAAAAGGUGACGGUUCAAGUCCGUCUAAAACUCA
rnacentral:tRNA from 1 species